UGUGUUUGUGUCAAUUGUAUUAUUUUUUUCUCUCCCUGGCCUCUCUUUCCCUCACCCUCAACCUCUUCCCCUAUUUCUUUGUUAUAGUAUUUUUCUUUAUGUGCUUGUAUCAGUCGUAUAUUUUUAUCCGUUUUAGUCUUUUUAUUCACAUUUAUGCGUUUGAUAAAUGUGCCCUUUUCGAUCUGUUUCUCUAAAAAAUCUAAGUAGGCAACUUUGAGAAGAUACAUAUAUG
rnacentral:lncRNA from 1 species